CCUACGGGACGCAGCAGUGAGGAAUAUUGGUCAAUGGACGAGAGUCUGAACCAGCCAAGUAGCGUGAAGGAUGACUGCCCUAUGGGUUGUAAACUUCUUUUAUAUGGGAAUAAAAUGUUCCACGUGUGGGAUUUUGUAUGUACCAUAUGAAUAAGGAUCGGCUAACUCCGUGCCAGCAGCCGCGGUAAUACGGAGGAUCCGAGCGUUAUCCGGAUUUAUUGGGUUUAAAGGGCGCGUAGGUGGGUUGGUAAGUAAGUUGUGAAAGUUUGCGGCUCAACCGUAAAAUUGCAGUUGAUACUGGCAGUCUUGAGUACAGUAGGGGUGGGCGGAAUUCGUGGUGUAGCGGUGAAAUGCUUAGAUAUCACGAAGAACUCCGAUUGCGAAGGCAGUUCACUGGACUGCAACUGACACUGAGGCUCGAAAGUGUGGGUAUCAAACAGGAUUAGAUACCCCAGUAGUC
rnacentral:rRNA from 1 species